AUACGUAGGUGGCAAGCGUUGUCCGGAAUUAUUGGGCGUAAAGCGCAUGUAGGCGGUGCCUUAAGUCUGUCGUGAAACUGCGGGGCUUACCCCCGUAUGGCGAUGGAAACUGUGGCACUUGAGUGCAGGAGAGGAAAGGGGAACUCCCAGUGUAGCGGUUAAAUGCGUAGAUAUUGGGAAGAACACCGGUGGCGAAGGCGCCUUUCUGGACUGUGUCUGACGCUGAGAUGCGAAAGCCAGGGUAGCGAACGGGAUUAGAUACCCCGGUAGUCCUGGCCGUAAACGAUGGGUACUAGGUGUGGGAGGUAUCGACCCCUUCCGUGCCGGAGUUAACGCAAUAAGUACCCCGCCUGGGGAGUACGGCCGCAAGGCUUAAACUCAAAGGAAUUGACGGGG
rnacentral:rRNA from 1 species